rnacentral:rRNA from 1 species
AGAGUUUGAUCCUGGCUCAGAACGAACGCUGGCGGCGUGCUUUAGACAUGCAAGUCGUGCGAGAAAGUCGCCUUCGGGUGGCGAGUAAAGCGGCGCACGGGUGAGUAACGCGUGGGUAAUCUGCCUUUGGGUCUGGGACAACCUCGGGAAACUGGGGCUAAUACCGGAUAAGACCACGGGAUCUUCGGAUUCUGCGGAAAAAGAUGGCCUCUUCUUGAAAGCUAUCGCCUAUUGAUGAGCCCGCGUCCCAUUAGUUUGUUGGUGAGGUAACGGCUCACCAAGGCUUCGAUGGGUAGCUGGUCUGAGCGGAUGAUCAGCCACACUGGAACUGAGACACGGUCCAGACUCCUACGGGAGGCAGCAGUCGGGAAUUUUGGGCAAUGGGGGAAACCCUGACCCAGCAACGCCGCGUGAGGGAUGAAGGCCUUCGGGUCGUAAACCUCUGUCGGGAGGGAAGAAAGGUCUCAGGACGAAUAAUCCUGGGAUUUGACGGUACCUUCAAAGGAAGCGCCGGCUAACUCCGUGCCAGCAGCCGCGGUAAUACGGAGGGCGCAAGCGUUGUUCGGAAUCAUUGGGCGUAAAGAGCGUGUAGGCGGUUUGGUAAGUCGGAUGUGAAAUCCCGAGGCUCAACCUCGGAACUGCAUUCGAAACUACUUCACUAGAGUCCCGGAGAGGGUGGUGGAAUUCCCAGUGUAGAGG